UACGGAGGGUGCAAGCGUUAUUCGGAAUUACUGGGCGUAAAGCGCGUGCAGGCGGCUCGAGAAGUCUGAUGUGAAAGCCCCGGGCUUAACCUGGGAAGUGCAUUGGAAACUCUCGGGCUUGAGUGCUGGAGAGGAAGGGAGAAUUCCCGGUGUAGAGGUGAAAUUCGUAGAGAUCGGGAGGAACACCAGUGGCGAAGGCGCCCUUCUGGACAGCAACUGACGCUGAGACGCGAAAGCGUGGGGAGCAAACAGG
rnacentral:rRNA from 1 species